rnacentral:rRNA from 1 species
UAUACCGUGAAACUGCGAAUGGCUCAUUAAAUCAGUUAUCGUUUAUUUGAUAGUACCUUACUACUUGGAUAACCGUGGUAAUUCUAGAGCUAAUACAUGCUGAAAACCCCGACUUCGGAAGGGAUGUGUUUAUUAGAUAAAAAACCAAUGCCCUUCGGGGCUUUUUGGUGAUUCAUGAUAACUUUACGGAUCGCAUAGCCUUGCGCUGGCGACGGUUCAUUCAAAUUUCUGCCCUAUCAACUUUCGAUGGUAAGGUAUUGGCUUACCAUGGUUUCAACGGGUAACGGGGAAUUAGGGUUCGAUUCCGGAGAGGGAGCCUGAGAAACGGCUACCACAUCCAAGGAAGGCAGCAGGCGCGCAAAUUACCCAAUCCCGACACGGGGAGGUAGUGACAAUAAAUACUGAUACAGGGCUCUUUUGGGUCUUGUAAUUGGAAUGAGUACAAUUUAAACCUCUUAACGAGGAACAAUUGGAGGGCAAGUCUGGUGCCAGCAGCCGCGGUAAUUCCAGCUCCAAUAGCGUAUAUUAAAGUUGUUGCAGUUAAAAAGCUCGUAGUUGAAACUUGGGCCUGGCUGGCGGGUCCGCCUCACCGCGUGCACUCGUCCGGCCGGGCCUUCCUUCUGAAGAACCUCAUGCCCUUCACUGGGCGUGUUGGGGAAUCAGGACUUUUACUUUGAAAAAAUUAGAGUGUUCAAAGCAGGCCUUUGCUCGAAUACGUUAGCAUGGAAUAAUAAAAUAGGGCGUGCGUUUCUAUUUUGUUGGUUUCUAGAGACGCCGCAAUGAUUAACAGGAACAGUCGGGGGCAUCAGUAUUCAGUUGUCAGAGGUGAAAUUCUUGGAUUUACUGAAGACUAACUACUGCGAAAGCAUUUGCCAAGGAUGUUUUCAUUAAUCAGUGAACGAAAGUUAGGGGAUCGAAGACGAUCAGAUACCGUCGUAGUCUUAACCGUAAACUAUGCCGACUAGGGAUCGGGCGAUGUUCUUUUUCUGACUCGCUCGGCACCUUACGAGAAAUCAAAGU